GGAAACAUGAUUAACCUAACAAUAGAAAAUAAUUACAUACAGUUUGGGAAGGUCAAGCAGUGAUGUGAAUGUUAAAGAACUCAGAGAAAUGCAAGUCCUUGAUGCUCACGUUCUAAACUGCAGUUCUCAGACACAGAAGGUCCCCAUGUAGAAAGUCGCUACUGUUCAAGAAGGAAGCUCCUAAAAUCCUAUUUUCAGAGGUUUUGAAGGAGUUCAAGACUACACCAUUGGAAAUGACAGAAGACAGGCCCUCUGGGAUUCAUGAGCCUCUGCUGGGAUUUUCACGCCAGCCGCCAUGUUAACAUGAAGCAACAGCUGGGUUGAAGAGAGCUGAUAAAAAUAGCAACAUCAGCCCUGCGAGCAAGCUGCAUGGAAGGAGGGGAUGAAGUAUUGAAUGCAGGGUAGCAUGUUACCUUUUCUGAGUCUAGAGCUGUGUUUCUUGGGGUCCCCCCUUUUUCAGAAACGGCAGAUUGAGAUCUGUUUCCACCUAAGUGUUGCGGAGGAGGACGUGGGAAGGGGCGGGUUGCUCCCACUUCUCCUGUUCCCCACUGGUAGGCACCUGGCCCCCCGAUCGUUUCAUGGUAGAUCUUGUAAGCUGAUGGUGUAGCCCUUGAGUGAUUGAGUUCAACACUGGGAACUUGGUUUUCAGGGUUUCUAUGUGUUGCUGCAGAAACUUCCUGCUGUUACCCCAUCUUUCCAUUCAUUAAAGUUUAGCUUGCAAUUGAACAUUCUGACAUAACAUAGCUGAGAUUUUUGGCAGUAACGUUAACCAUAUUCAAGAGUUUUCUUCAGACGACGUUAAAUUUUUCAUAUCCUCAUGAACGCUUGCCACC
ensembl:lncRNA